UCUUGAAUGGAAUCAAAUUGUGGUUGGGAUAGACGAGUGAUUUCUCGUAUAAUGGCUUGUACUUGCAAAUCGGGUACUCCACCUCCGGGAAAAUUUCUUCUUGGUUGAAGGUUUCUUCCUCCACCUGCGGCAUUCGACACUCCUCCACUUAGUACUCGACUUUUCGGGCUUCUUGACAUGUUGUUUAACCUGAAAAAAAU
rnacentral:lncRNA from 1 species